rnacentral:lncRNA from 1 species
CAGAAAUCUACCUCUCUUGGUUAGAGUCUCAGGCCAUCUCAGAUGCAUCUUCCUUGUACUCUUCAUUUUCCAGAGAGAUACCAGUGGUUAAAGAGUUGGUUAAUAAACCUGGUCUUCGUUCUUGCUGAGACUUACAGAGAUGAUGGUGGCAUUGUUUGGUCAAAACAAAAAUUCCAGGAAAGUAUGGAAAGAAGAAAUACUGUGUAAAUUCUUGCACACCGUGCUUUCCACUGUACAAGUGCCUAACAG